rnacentral:rRNA from 1 species
UACAGAGGUCCCGAGCGUUGUUCGGAUUCAUUGGGCGUAAAGAGCGUGUAGGCGGCUUGUUAAGUCUUGCGUGAAAUCUCGGGGCUCAACCCCGAGCGGUCGUGAGAAACUGGCAGGCUAGAGUGCGGGAGAGGAGAGUGGAAUUCCUGGUGUAGCGGUGAAAUGCGCAGAUAUCAGGAAGAACACCCGUGGCGAAGGCGGCUCUCUGGAACGCAACUGACGCUGAGACGCGAAAGCGUGGGGAGCAAACAGG